rnacentral:misc_RNA from 1 species
GAUGAAGAACGCAGCGAAAUGCGAUAAGUAAUGUGAAUUGCAGAAUUCAGUGAAUCAUCGAAUCUUUGAACGCACAUUGCGCCCGCCAGUAUUCUGGCGGGCAUGCCUGUUUGAGCGUCAUUUCAACCCUCAGGCCCCCAGUGCCUGGCGUUGGGGAUCGGCGCGGCGCCCUCCGGGGCGCUGCCGGCCCCGAAAUUCAGUGGCGGUCUCGCUGUAGCCCUCCUCCGCGUAGUAGCACAACCUCGCGGCCUGGAGCUCGGCGGUGGCCAUGCCGUAAAACACCCCACUUCUGAAAGUUGACCUCGGAUCAGGUAGGAAUACCCGCUGAACUUAAGCAUAUCAAUAAGCGGAGGA